GUUUUUUCAGGGGUGCUCGUCUUCGAGCAGCCGGCCCAGGACGCCCGACGCCCAUAUACACGAGUUCGCGCCGCAACUGACACCACAACGUACGCCCUUGUUGCGCACUGUGGGGACACGGGCCGAGGAACGAAGAGAGGAUUUCUGCCGCUUACUUUUAUGGAGCCCAGCGUGGCGUCUACUCCGGGGUGGGCAAUCAGGCGGCGAGAACGUCCGACUGCGCUCGUGAAACAACACCACGGGAUUUCGCGAGGGUCCUUCUGUUCGUCCCGCUCGCAGAGCAGCUCGCCGCUCUCUGCAGUUGUCCGUUCUCCCUCAUUGCCGCAAAGACACGAACUGGUAGAUUUAUUCGGCUGUACGUGCUCUGGACUGUCCUGUCUGGCCUUGUCGCCGCAAGCACGCGACGCGUCAGAAGGAACAGCAGUCACCGGGGACCGGUUUCCUGCUUCGGAUCGCGAAGAAAAGGAAUGGCCUUCGCUGUCUUCCGCGCCUCUCGCCUUCUGGGAGUGGACGGGGCACGGCAAAUACGACCGGCGCAAAAACGCCAUGAGGGCUUGCCAGGAGGCGAACACCUGGACCUCAGGGACUCGCGUGGACACGCCUUGUUCGAGGCCUGUGCGGGGAAACGAUUUGCGAGACAGAGUGGAAUUCGAGACGAAUCGUCUCGGAGGCAGAGAACGGGGGAGAUGGCGCGUGACAGAAAACAGCGAGCCGAACGUGAGACUGAACUGCACGUCUUCGCAAUAGAUCUCUCUCUUGAAGCCUCUCCUCUGGCCGCUCGUUUUUCCCUUUUCCCCCCCUUCGUCUUCGUUUUCCUCAGGACCCCGAAGAAGGUGUGACGGAGACGUACCUGUCUGGAGUUGCUUCUCGAUGUUUUCUCUCGAGAGCUUCGGGCUCGAAAGAUAACCUUUCUCCACACGUUCCGAGCACACGAGGAGAACGCGCCCCACGCCGAGAGUUGCGCUGACCUGCCAGAGAGAAGACGGGAGCGAAAAACGCGCAAGCCACGGAGACAGGAGCUGCUCGCCGAGGCCGCGAACGCAGGGGACGAGGAAAAAAGGCUCGGACCACCGGAAGGCAGAACGCGCGCCGCAGAGAACUGGAGUCUCAGAGAAUGACGCCUCGGAAGCAGAGAAGAGACGGGAGGUCGUACGAAUCAGCCACGCACUGGCGACCAGAGAGGCGCAAAAGAACCGACAGAAAAAUCUACAUAGUGCAGCGGGACACACGAGAUUGAUACGUGACCGAACCUGCGAUUGAGGGAUUGGACGGCGACGCCACGGCCCCCGAAAUGCACGAGAACGGAGAAGCGACACACACGAAAAAAGGUGCACCAACUCGCGCGAGGCAGGGAGAAGACGGGCGAGCCUCGAAAACACGAAUCGGAGAGAGAGUGCGCGGAAAAGAAGCAACGCGGAACGGAAAGCUGACGACGAAGACCCCUCUCUCUGCGAACCUCUGCUGUCGGGAGAAGUUGCCGUCACGCACACGCACCUGGAGAAUUUUGUCGAGCGUCUUGGGGCGAGGUAUGGCAAGAAGAAGAUCAAUCAGAGAAUCAGGAGACGCGCACGCUUCCCUGCGGCGAAGACAGGGACAGAAAAGAGGGAACAAAAACGGACUCCCAGCGCAGCUGUUCGAAACGCGGUGGAAGAAACCCGCGGUGGAAGAAACCCGCUGAAGGUCGGAAGUCAAACAAUAUACGUUGCGAGACGGCGGGCGUGUGCAAGAAAUCAAGAAAGGCAGGGAGAAGACGCUUCGGCGAGACGGACGGAACAGUCCGAGAGAAAGGACCGUCGUAGGCGCAGCUGUUCGGAAAGAGGAAGAGCACUCGCUCGCUCAUCUUUCCGUGUCGCGGAUUGUAAAUCGCGGACGCGUUGAUUCUUUCCCCUGCAUUUCCUUCCCUUACGGCGUCUCUGCAUCGCCCCACAAAAGGCAGUUUCUCUUUGUCGCCCUUUUCUCGCUGAACGACCUCCUUUCCGUCGCUCUCGCGUGGCCGUCCUCUCUGCGAAACGCCUCGCUUACUUUGCAAUGUCUCUCUCCAGCUGGACUUGGACGCAUGCUGGCGAUUGACCGUUGAUGGCCACGACUUUUCCCGUGCAGACGCCUCCAUUGAACACCCCGACCUUGACUGUGCUUCCGACCUACGGAGAUGAGGAGACACCACGACUGGGGAAGUUCCUCACGAGCCGAAAGACAAGGACAAAGACGUCCACGUCUUAUUUUUCGCACUAGAGCGCACACGGGAGGGAGAAAUCCAGCUCUGGCGUCGGUUUCCGCGCUCACCUGAACUUUAAGAACAGAAAGGCAGUGCUGUGCGGCGGCACUCGGCAGAUCCACCAAGAGCUUUUCUUCCUCUUCUCCCGUGUCUCCUCUCGCCGUCUCUGCGUGCUCAGGGGCGGUCGGCGGACCUGCGCGGACUCGCCGUAUCUGUCGCCUCUUGAUGAGAAUAAGAUUCAUGGUGAAGACGAGAUAAAGACGCGUCGAGGAAAGGACUGGGAGGGAAGCCGAAGAGCGGCGAACCACACACGAAGAAGGGGAACUCCAGAGCACGAAAAGCACAAGGAGUCGUGGGGUAGCUGUGUGCCGAAGAAAACGAGGUGGGAACGGACGGCAGGAAACUCGCGGAGGAGAAAUAGACAGUCGAAGACACAAGGGGAAAACAGGCACGAGGCCAGGAGGGAAAAAGAAGGAAAGGGUGACGAGAAAGCAGCGGCGAAAGAGAGCCUCAGCAGAGCGCUAAGCGUCUGUUCGGGUGCUCGACGGCGCUCUCCCCUUCUCUCGGGUGAAGCGCGAGAGCCCUUCUCCUGCGGAGAGACGAGGACUCGUCCGAGCCGGAGACAGAGAGAGAAGAACCUUUGUGGAGGAAUCGUACAAUCGCUGGGGCUGCGUUCACUCUUUAUCGCCUUUCCGCUGCCGCGGCCAGCCUUCGGCGGCGCAGGAUGCCUAGGGAGGCAAAAUAUUCCUGCGCCCGAGAUGAAGGGCUACGUUGCCUCUCUCUGUGUGUGCAGUGGGGGGAAGACAUCGAGCAGAGAAACUGCAGAUGUCUGCGAGUCCAAGUCGACGGCCAGGCGAAAGAGCCACGCGGAAGUUGGCUGGUCGGGGACUCGGGAAGAAAUGCGGAGAUCGUGGGGAGAGUUAUAACGGCUCUAAUGCCAAAGAGAAGGAGAAAGGGGCGAAUCUACGAUGUGGAGAGGCAAAGGGAAUCGGAAGAAAAGGAGCCCGCAGGGGACACGAGGUGAAUAUGUGCCGGCAGAGAACCCUGUCGAUUUUGAACGGAGAGGGGCCAAACAACUCCAGUGUCAACCGGGAACAAAUUGGCGGCCGGGGGGGGUGGGGGGACCGUUUAAUUCAUGUGUCCAGUUCGUUGUUUCCGAGGUGCGGAGACAGCUUUGAAGGAGAUGGAGAUCUUCAGAAAGUCGAGCUCUUAAGCCUGGGACCCGUCCGCUCGGCGUCCACGGGGCGCGAAGGCCGCCCCCGAAACAAACGCGCGAGUUUUGACUCCAGUUUGGAGGACAUGUGUUUUUCUCAAGGCUCUGACGCACAAGCCUUUUCUCGCUGCGCUCCGAGGAAAGCGCUCGUGGUCCUUGUUUUUCCCGCCGGGUGUUUAGUCGUCCUUUUCGCGCAAAGUAGCCCGAACGAAGCAGGCAGUUUCUCGGUGGCCGAUCCGUGAAUCGACACGGCGCUCUGUGUGUGGUUCGGCGCUGUUUUCGCAUGCCCUAUGAACCUCUGCGUCGCGUGAGAACCUACGGACCUCGUUUCCAAGCUCUUUUAGGACUGUGAACCACCCUGUGCGACGAUAUCCCUCCUGCACAAUCUACUUAAAGGCGCUCUCAAGGACUGCUAGGUGACAAGAAAACUCCCUGUACCAAGAGGCGGCUGCCUGCGUUCGCUCGCAGCCCGCAAGACCGCCUAGAAGACCAGCUGAAUCACACCGAGGCUGGCAAGCGUUUCUGUCGAAAUCUUUUGGGUCUAGGGCGCAGCGAAGCUGUUCCGAC
rnacentral:lncRNA from 1 species